GGGGUCGCCAUUGGCUUCGACAGAAAUAUUAGAAAUUAAAUUGCAAGUCGAAUUGUCAUCGUUAAAGACUAAACAAAAUAUAACUGGAAACAGCUAUAACAACGCUGUAGCUUACGCUUAGUUUUAGCGGCUACAGGCUUCACUAUUUCUUUUCUUGUAGGAAAUAACUGAAGCUCAUAUAUACAAGAUAUAUUUAAUAAAAGUCUAAGUUAUUAAACGAAUUAUAUAGACUAGUAAAUAUUAAGGUUGUUAAUUACCAAAAUAUUUAUGAAAUAAAAUAAUUAACUAAACUUGUAGAUAUUUAAUUAUCGGUAUUUUUGGACAGGGGUUCGAUUCCCCUCGGCUCCACCA
rnacentral:tmRNA from 2 species